rnacentral:rRNA from 1 species
UACGAAGGGGGCUAGCGUUGUUCGGAAUUACUGGGCGUAAAGCGCGCGCAGGCGGUCCUUUAAGUCAGGGGUGAAAGCCCAGAGCUCAACUCUGGAACUGCCUUUGAAACUGGAGGACUUGGGUACGGGAGAGGUGAGUGGAAUUCCGAGUGUAGAGGUGAAAUUCGUAGAUAUUCGGAAGAACACCAGUGGCGAAGGCGGCUCACUGGCCCGUUACCGACGCUCAGGCGCGAAAGCGUGGGGAGCAAACAGG